CAGCAGUAGCCACGGGAAUACGGAGGGUGCAAGCGUUAUCCGGAUUUAUUGGGUUUAAAGGGUCCGUAGGCGGAUCUGUAAGUCAGUGGUGAAAUCUCACAGCUUAACUGUGAAACUGCCAUUGAUACUGCAGGUCUUGAGUAAAUUUGAAGUGGCUGGAAUAAGUAGUGUAGCGGUGAAAUGCAUAGAUAUUACUUAGAACACCAAUUGCGAAGGCAGGUCACUAAGAUUUAACUGACGCUGAUGGACGAAAGCGUGGGGAUCGAACAGGAUUAGAUACCCGUGUAGUCCCUGUCUCUUAUAU
rnacentral:rRNA from 1 species